rnacentral:rRNA from 1 species
GACGAACGCUGGCGGCGUGCCUAAUGCAUGCAAGUCGCACGCGGCACCUUCGGGUGCUGAGUGGCGAACGGCUGAGGAACACGUGGGGACCUGUCCGGGAGUGGGGGACAACACCGCGAAAGCGGUGCUAAUCCCGCAUACGCUCUGAGGAGGAAAGCCGAAAGGCGCUCCCGGGUGGCCCUGCGGCCCAUCAGGUUGUUGGUGGGGUAACGGCCUACCAAGCCAAUGACGGGUCGCUGGUCUGUGAGGACGACCAGCCAGACUGGGACUGGGACACGGCCCAGACUCCUACGGGAGGCAGCAGCAAGGAAUUUUCGGCAAUGGGCGCAAGCCUGACCGAGCAACGCCGCGUGCAGGAAGACGGCCUUCGGGUUGUAAACUGCUUUUGCUAGGGAUGAUACAGACAGUACCUGGCGAAUCAGCCCCGGCUAACUCUGUG